GUGUUGUGUUUUGUCACGUGUUUUGUUGUUAGAUUGCGGGCUCGAGGUAUAACAAAAUAAAUAAUUGAAUAAAAGUAAAUAGCAAAUGUUGGUUAAAGUCAACAGCAUAAUAUAUUAUACGAAAACAAAUGAAAUGGCUUAGUUACAUUGAGAAACGGAGUCAAAGGUUGUUAAAGAUUGAGUUGAAAAAUUAUAACUCAAGUUUAGAAGGUGCAAGUUAUCAUGUAGAAUUUUCAUCAAAGCAGCCAUGCCAAUGAUCGUGCCAUUCAACUAGCAUGAUCUCAUCGCUACAAUUGAUAGUAGAUUCAACAAGUGCCAUUGCAUCGAAGACAAACU